GUCGUAACAAGGUCUCCGUUUGUGAACCUGCGGAGGGAUCAUUA
rnacentral:rRNA from 1 species